CCCGCCACUAUACCCGCCUGUCGUGGCUCGGUGUAAUCCAGUGGUGCGCUGAGACCAACUCUCCUCUUAGGAAACAGGGCUCGUCUGUGUGUGAUCAUCCCUGUGCCGAAAGAUGGAGCACAGAC
ensembl:snoRNA